ACAGGGAUUGCCCUAGUAACGGCGAGUGAAGCGGCAACAGCUCAAAUUUGAAAUCUGGCGUCUUUGGCGUCCGAGUUGUAAUUUGCAGAGGGCGCUUUGGCAUUGGCAGCGGUCCAAGUUCCUUGGAACAGGACGUCACAGAGGGUGAGAAUCCCGUACGUGGUCGCUAGCCUUUACCGUGUAAAGCCCCUUCGACGAGUCGAGUUGUUUGGGAAUGCAGCUCUAAAUGGGAGGUAAAUUUCUUCUAAAGCUAAAUACUGGCCAGAGACCGAUAGCGCACAAGUAGAGUGAUCGAAAGAUGAAAAGCACUUUGGAAAGAGAGUUAAAAAGCACGUGAAAUUGUUGAAAGGGAAGCGCUUGCAGCCAGACUUGCCUGUAGUUGCUCAUCCGGGUUUCUACCCGGUGCACUCUUCUAUAGGCAGGCCAGCAUCAGUUUGGGCGGUUGGAUAAAGGUCUCUGUCAUGUACCUCUCUUCGGGGAGAACUUAUAGGGGAGACGACAUGCAACCAGCCUGGACUGAGGUCCGCGCAUCUGCUAGGAUGCUGGCGUAAUGGCUGUAAGCGGCCCGUCUUGAAACACGGACCAAGGAGUCUAACAUCUAUGCGAGUGUUUGGGUGUCAAGCCCGAGCGCGUAAUGAAAGUGAACGGAGGUGGGAACCUUUCGGGGUGCACCAUCGACCGAUCCUGAUGUCUUCGGAUGGAUUUGAGUAAGAGCAUAGCUGUUGGGACCCGAAAGAUGGUGAACUAUGCUUGAAUAGGGUGAAGCCAGAGGAAACUCUGGUGGAGGCUCGCAGCGGUUCUGACGUGCAAAUCGAUCGUCAAAUUUGGGCAUAGGGGCGAAAGACUAAUCGAACUAUCUAGUAGCUGGUUCCUGCC
rnacentral:rRNA from 1 species